UACCCACUUUGACUUAGAAAACUCCCUCUGGGACUACACCUGCCCUCAUGUCAUUCACAUAACUGGUGAGAAAGUGAUAGGGCUCC